UACGAAGGGGGCUAGCGUUGUUCGGAAUUACUGGGCGUAAAGCGCACGUAGGCGGAUAUUUAAGUCAGGGGUGAAAUCCCAGAGCUCAACUCUGGAACUGCCUUUGAUACUGGGUAUCUUGAGUAUGGAAGAGGUAAGUGGAAUUGCGAGUGUAGAGGUGAAAUUCGUAGAUAUUCGCAGGAACACCAGUGGCGAAGGCGGCUUACUGGUCCAUUACUGACGCUGAGGUGCGAAAGCGUGGGGAGCGAACAGG
rnacentral:rRNA from 1 species